ensembl:lncRNA
CGCAGCUCUGUCCAGACCUUCUGGCUUCUGUGGUGGGAAAUGGUCCCACUGCAUCCAUAAAUGACCAGGGACAGGUGGACCCUGAGGACAUCAGGCUGCUGUCAGGAAGGGACCUGGUUGCUGAAUAGCCUCGGGUGACAAAGGGACGUUUCAGACACCUGGACAUGAUCUGACUGAGCUGUCUCUGGGACAUGCAUCCUGGCAGGGUGUGUGUGUGCGUGUGUGUGUGUGUGCAUGCAUGCAUGUGUGUGUGCAUGAGUGUGUGUGCAUGCAUGCAUGUGUGUGUUCAUAUGUGUGCAUGUGUGUGUGUGUGCACAUGAGUGUCAUUUAAAAAGCUGUGGCAGAUCUGAGUUGACGCAUUAGCCCUUUCUCACCCAGCCCCUUCCCAACCAAAGGGAUGACAGCGGAGGGUGCAGUCUGGCAGGUUUGUCCACUUGGGUUUUCAGGUCAUGACCUGGUUCACAGACUACUCUCUAGUCUAAUAAACUGACCAGUGGCCGGUUCCACACUCUGCCGUUGUGACCCCGUGACAAUGUCACCUAUAUUCGAGAUCCUUCCAAGAUCUUCCCCGAGCUGCAUGUGGCUGUGCUGAUGGACACGGAAUUUCGUAGUGAUUUCUUCUGGAGACUCGGAUCAUUGUUGAUGCUGCUUCUCCAGGGAGACAGGCUUGCGAGGGUGAUAUGUUCCUCCUGUGUAAGUGACGUAUGUGGACAUGGUGGGCCUUGUGUUCAUGUCAGAGGAACGUCUUGUUCAGGGUCACUCAGCUGCCAAGGGGACUGUCCGGGUUCCACUUCAGAUCUGCCCUCUAGAGCCUGGCUCCUUCUUGGGACAACCACCUCCUCUGCCACCUGUGACGGCACCACCCAGGACACCAGGUCAAGGUCUGGGGUGGCCACCACAGUAAUUCAGGCUUCCAGAGAUGAGCCUCCACCCACGGCCCUGCCAGGGCUUCUAGGGUCCGUUCUCCAGCCGAGGACUGGCAGGUAUCCACACAUGCGGAGGGCCAGCAGCUCGGAAACAGGGUCUCCACGCUCCCUGGAACAUGGUGAGUUAGCUGCCUGGGAGCUCUGGUCGCAUAGGAACAAUGCCGAGGCUUUAAACUGGGAAAAAACUGAGAUCUCGACCAGCCCCUCAGGUAAACCCCCCGAAGUCGGAAGUGGGCACCGGCUGCACCAGCAGUAACAGUGUGACGGGAAGCAAGGUCGCGUCCAGGGACGUCCUUGGAUGUUUCCUCCAUUUAAAAUGACUUUCAUCUUACAGAAAGUGGAAUGUUCUGUAUUAUUGCAUCAUAGUAGAAUACGAAGCACCAUCACUCCCUUGGCUUAAUGACACUGGCACUGAUAUUUUGGAAAUAAUGAUUUUUCCUAGUUUAGAAUGUAAAAGGUAUUAUUAUAGAAACGUCGUUCACAAGCUCCUCACUCAGAGGGUGCCUGUGAUAACAAUUGAGUAUCUUCACAUGAAGUUGGAAGGACGUUGUAUGUGUUUACCCGGCUUUCCACUCAACGUGCAGCGUGCACACGGUCCUGUCACAGAAGUCCUGAGGAGAUGAGAGAUGGUACCCGUCCUGGGCAUGAGUCCUGGUUUCCGGUGGGUUUUGUAUUCCGAGCACCUCCUGUGUGCCCCGUGUCUGCAGCCCCAGAAUUACUGUGUAAUCUCCAUCUGUGAGAGGCUGUCUCCCCAGUGCGGCUGGCUGUGCUCUUUUCUUAGGAAUCCUUCCAAGUCAUGGGGCUUUUGAAAAUACAAAUAGGUCUUGCUGCAGCCUAGACGCAUGUGGUGGGAACUGUGUGUGUCCUCAAGGGCAGGCUGUAAGCAUAAUGAGAAGAAGCACACCACACAGUUCCAUUUAUAGGACCUUCAAACACAGGCAUGGCUCAGCGAUCGCCGCUGGAGGAGGACAUUUACGUUAAAGCUACAAAGUGCAGAGGAAUCAUCGUCACAGACGUCGACAGCGUCACCGUUAGGAGGAAGGAAAUAAGAUGGGCAGGUCCAGUUGCUGGUGACAUUCUCCGUCAUAACUCCAGGAGAAGUACCUUUUCCCCCGUCUAAAUACUGCGUUAUAAUCUAUGUUUAAAUCAUACAUAGAUGUUUAAGGCACCAUUUUGUAGAUAUGGUAGUUUAAAAGUAGAUGUUAAAUGUAGAUAUUUCAGUUUAAAAGUAGUUUAAAUUUUUUUAGAGAAAUGUUUCUGGGAGCUUUUUGUUCUUCUAAUGUUAUUUUACUAAUGUAUCAGAAUAAGGGUAGUUCUUAUCCACUAACUAUAUGUCCUGACACGAGGACUGUUCAUGGCCGCUGGACCGCAUCCCAUCUGCGGGAGUUCACACUCCGACUGGAAGGCCUGGGACGCUACCACAUCAGUCUGUGCUGCGGUUUCUUCUUCUUAGAUGAAUCAACAGGGUCCCUACUCAGAGUCGGGAAAGUGCCUUAGAGUGAGCACCCUCCGAUGCUCGUGAGCUGGUCCAACAAGGAGCUCCAUGUGGUCACUCUGACCUGAGGGAAGUCUCUAAGCAACAGGAUUUUUCCCUGUGGGACGUAAUUCUGCACCUGCCCAAGGUGAAAUUAAGCGAGAGCUCUCACGGAUGCUGGCGUGUGAGAGCCACUGCUCACAGCCCCGGCACAAUCGCUCCCUGUAGCAAGAACCAGCCCAGAGCCACCAGGCUGCUUUUGGUGCACCUGCCCUCUUCGGGGCCUGGGGAUGCGGUGGCCCCAGCUCGGUCUUGGAAUUGCUCUGCCCUCCUAUUCCUGGGCACCACACACAAAACCCCCAGCCAUGCACAGCUGCUGAUGCCAUGCAGCAUCAUUUUUCAAAAUAAAGCCAAUUGCCAGGCUGGAUUUCAGAAAUUCCCUGACGGGCCUGGCAAAAAGUGACCCCCAGGCUCCCGCAGGUGUGUGAGGGGGCCAGAGAGCAGAGGUGCAGACGGCCAAGGCCAGAAGUGGCUGCAGGUGGGAAUCAGCCAGCAGAUGGCCCUCCCUGGAAGCUCCUUCUCACUCGACUAACGCCAGUGGAGUUUUCACAGGUGACUUGCCCUUCUUCAACUCCUCACGCAAUCUCAUGAAGCCAAAACAUGGGCACUUUGUGAGUCUGUCUUGGCAGGAGUUUCACUGGACCUUUCUGGAGCACCUCCUUCCCACAGGCCCGCGGUGGAGGCACUGGGGACAGGCAACGAGGUCCCUGUCCUGGGGCAGCCGCUCCAGUGCAAGACUCAGGAGGCAGGAGGAGGGCUGCUUCCUGCCUGGAGUGGGAGCCCGGGAGAAGGAAAAGGAAGCCUAUGGGCUACCACCAGGAGGACAGAUCAGACAAACCCCAGAGGGCCUGUGCCGGGCAUCACUGUGCCUAUAAAAACAAGGCCCUGAGGCUUCAUGGAGCCACGGAGAACUUGGCCCCUGGGAUGUGAGGACUCUUGCAGCUCAAGAACCUUCUCAGAGAUGAGCAACCAAAGGGGUGUGCACCAGACCCCGGUUUAAUCUUUCCCACUUCCAAAUAUUAUGACGCUUUAAAAAUAGGAUUGGUCCCUCAAAGGCUAUAGCAUUCUUGAGUAGAAUUAGUCGCCGCAGUCCCAACCUCUGUCAGACUUUCCUUCUCAGAAUCAAACGCCAGUAGGACAUGGGGUAUUUCAUCAAAAGAUCAGAGAGGGACACAGAUUUCAGGAGACAGGCUGGGAGCUGGCACCGAUGGAAACCAGCUGUGGGAACAGGCUCAUUAUCUUCUCCUGCUUUUGUGUGUGCCUGGAAAUGUCCAUAAUAAGCAGAAAGAAUAAGAAAAAGGAAAAGAAAGGAAAAUGACAAUUACUGCUGUUCCUGCGAAAGAAAACUAAGCCUUAACCACCCUUCCUUCUCUCUCUCAAGGGUCCCAUGCAGGAUUCCACGUUGCAUUUGGUUGCCACUCCAAUGAUGUCAGACGUCAUCUCCUCUAGUCUGUGACGGUGAGAGAGCUGAGAGAGAGCAGUAAGGGGAUCUGUGCAGUGUCUCCUCCAUCGUGUGGGUGCACACAGUUCAUUUAUCCAUUCACCUGGUGAAGGACGUCUUGCUUGUUUCCAGAUUUUGGCAAUUUUGGAUAAAGAUGUUAUAAAUAUUUUGACGUGUUUUUGUAUUUUCAGUUCACAUGGAUGGAUACGUAGGCACAGGGGUGCUGGGUAAUACGAUACCUCUGUGUCCAACUUUGUACGAAACCGCCAGACCGUCUUCCAAAGUGGCUGCCCUGUUUUGCAUUCCCACCAGCAAUGAAUGAUUCCUGUUGUGUCUGGGGUUCUCUCCAGCAUCUGGUGUUAUCAUUCUUUUUUUUUUUUUGGAGGAAGAUUAGCCCUGAGCUAACUGCUGCCAAUCCUUCUCUUUUCACUGAGGAAGACUGACCCUGAGCUAACAUCCAUGCCCAUCUUCCUCUACUUUCUUUGUGGGAUGCCUACCACAGCAUGGCUUGCCAAGCAGUGCCAUGUCCGCACCCAGGAUCUGAACUGGCAAACCCCGGGCUGCUGAAGCGAACGUGUGCACUUAACUGCUGCGCCACCAGGCCGG